rnacentral:rRNA from 1 species
GAUGAACGCUGGCGGCGUGCCUAAUACAUGCAAGUCGAGCGAACGGACGAGAAGCUUGCUUUUCUGAUGUUAGCGGCGGACGGGUGAGUAACACGUGGAUAACCUACCUAUAAGACUGGGAUAACUUCGGGAAACCGGAGCUAAUACCGGAUAAUAUUUUGAACCGCAUGGUUCAAAAGUGAAAGACGGUCUUGCUGUCACUUAUAGAUGGAUCCGCGCUGCAUUAGCUAGUUGGUAAGGUAACGGCUUACCAAGGCAACGAUGCAUAGCCGACCUGAGAGGGGGACCGGCCAAAAUGGAACUGAAACACGGUCCAAAACCCUAGGGGAGGAAAAAGGGGGGAAUCUCCCACAAGGGGAGAAAGCAUAACGGAGCAACGCCGGGUGGGGAAAGAAGGUCUUCGGAUUGUAAAACUCUUUUUUUGGGGAAGAAAAUAUGGGUAAGAAACUGGGCACAUUUGAACGGUACCUAAUCAAAAAGCCAAGGCUAACUACGU